rnacentral:rRNA from 1 species
GACAGAGGUGCCGAGCGUUAGGCGGAAUCACUGGGCUUAAAGCGUGUGUAGGCGGGCGGGCAAGUACCUUGUGAAAUCCCACGGCUCAACCGUGGAACGGCUGGGUAUACUGCCUGUCUUGAGCCAACUAGGGGCGAGCGGAACAGACGGUGGAGCGGUGAAAUGCGUAGAUAUCAGGAAGAACACCCGUGGCUAAGGCGGCUCUCUAGUACGGUACUGACGCUGAGACGCGAAAGCGUGGGGAGCGAACAGG